rnacentral:lncRNA from 1 species
CCUGAAUUGAUGGACAACACAAAUAAAUAUAUUAUACCCUAAAAGAGAACAUAAAAAACAACAACCCCAUAGCAGCCACAAUAAGAUCUGGCAGGACACUGAUCCUAAGAGUGCGUAAUGGCACUUAUUAAACAUCAGGAAUGAUUUCAGGGGCCUGAACGGACCUCCAAGAAAAUGUUUCUGCUUUUGCAGUCCCCAAUGAUUUUGCAGGCAGUGAGAAAAAAGGGGGAGGGAUAGGCAUAGGGAUAGGUGGAAUCCAGCACCCUGAUUGGGUGCAAAUCACCACUUCCCUAGUCAUCAGAUCAAUCAUGUGAUGAGAGGGGAUGUGUGUGUGUGUGUGUGUGUGUGUGUGUGCGCGCGCACACACACACACUUGCUAUUGUGCAUGAGAGAGACUGCAGGAGAGAGUUUGGAGUGGCCACACCCACUUCUUUAGGCCACACCCUCCACUGACAUUCCACACCCAGAGAAUUGGCCAUGGGUGAAUGUAGUUCUCUGGCCAAGGAAGUUAGCCCCUCCUUCUUAUGCACUGUGCAUGUUUAGAAAAGAUGACUGCUUGGACCAAGCGUCCUUGUAGGAUGAGCUGAAGUCUAGAACUUACCACUACUCUACUCUAUGGAGGUGAAAUCCACAGUCACGUCAGCUUUAAGCAGGAAAGCUUAAACUUGCAGUGCUGCUGGUCAUAUGGCUGCCUCACAUAGCACAAAGGGUUUCCAUGACAGCAGCAGCUAAGCUUAGCAACUGGCAAAACCAGUCAAGGACCAGAUGGAAGGAUUACACCAUGAUUGGGGCUAUAUAUGGUACUAUUGACGUGUGGAAAGUCAUCCUGCAGGGUUGGCUACUGGAUUCCUCUGCGAGAGUAACACUAAUAUUGAUAGGCUAGCCCUUAUUCUAUUGCGAAAGGCUGGGCUGGAUGAAUCCCAAGCCGGAAUUAAGAUUGCCGGAAGAAAUAUCAACAACCUCAGAUAUGUGGAUGACACAACCUUGAUGGCAGAAAGUGAGGAGGAAUUAAAGAACCUUUUAACGAGGGUGAAAGAGGAGAGCGCAAAAUAUGGUCUGAAGCUCAACAUCAAAAAAACAAAGAUCAUGGCCACUAGGCACAUCACCUCCUGGCAAAUAGAAGGGGAAGAAAUGGAGGCAGUGAGAGAUUUUACUUUCUUGGUCUCCAUGAUCUCUGCAGAUGGUGACAGCAGUCACGAAAUUAAAAGACGCCUGCUCCUUGGGAGAAAGGCGAUGGCAAACCUAGACAGCAUCUUAAAAAGCAGAGACAUCACCUUGCCAACAAAGGUCCGUAUAGUUAAAGCCAUGGUUUUCCCAGUAGUGAUGUAUGGAAGUGAGAGCUGGACCAUAAAGAAGGCUGAUCGCAGAAGAAUUGAUGCUUUUGAAUUAUGGUACUGGAGGAGACUCUUGAGAGUCCCAUGGACUGCAAGAAGAUCAAACGCAUCCAUUCUAAAGUAAAUCAGCCCUGAGUGCUCACUGGAAGGACAGAUCCUGAAGCUGAGGCUCCAAUACUUUGGCCACCUCAUGAGAAGAGAAGACUCCCUGGAAAAGACCCUGAUGUGGGGAAAGAUGGAGGGCACAAGGAGAAGGGGACGACAGAGGACGAGAUGGUUGGACAGUGUUCUCGAAGCUACAAACAUGAGUCUGACCAAACUGCGGGAGACAGUGGAAGACAGAAGUGCCUGGCGUGCUCUGGUCCAUGGGGUCACGAAGAGUUGGACACGACUGAAUGACUAAACAACAACAGCCUUUAUUCUGGGUGAUAUUGCAGCAGAGCUCCUAAAACAAAAGUAUAUUACACUCUACUUCUCAGAUCAGUGAGAAGACAACAUAGCACAGCAAUUACCCAAUUUGGUUUGGUUUCCUUUGGAAGGAGCUCCUUGGAGACUUAAUAGCAUGUUGUAGCAUGUGUGUUUGUUUAAUAAUAAUAAUGUAUUGUACCCCACCCAUCUGACUAGGUUGCCGCAGCUACUCUAGGUGGCUUUCAACGAUGUAUAAAAGAACACGCCAAAACUUCAAAAACCAAACCUUCCCGAUACAGGGCUGCCUUCAGAUGUCUUCUAAAAGUCAGAUAGUUGUUUAUUUCCUUGACAUCUGAUGGGAGGGUGUUCCUCAGGGCGGGUGCCACUACCGAGAAGGCCCUCUGCCUCAUUCCCUGCUACUUCACUUCUCACAAUGAGGGAACCACCAAAAGGCCCUCUGAGCUGGACCUCAGUGUCUGGGCUGAAGAUGGGAGUUGAGACACUUCUUCAGGUAUACAGGGCCAAAGCUGUGUAAACUUCCAAGUUAGGAACCUGGGACCUUCUGCACUGAACUCUGAUGCUCUACCACUGAACUACAGUCCUUCCACAAAACUGUGGUAUAUUAUUAUUUUCACACCACGAAACAUUGCCUCUUCCCCGGUGGCUAAAAAAAGGAAAUCUGGAUGAGUGAUCCAGCCAUUACCUAACCUUCUUGGGACACCUUUGUUACCAACAAGACUCAUCACCUGAGCGUCAACAGUCUUUCGUCACAUCUAGGAGGCUAGCUAGAUACUGCCUCAGGGCAACCCACACUCGCAGAGAAACCCAUUCGGAAAAGUCCAAUAGAAAACCGAUAACAGUUACUUUACUGCUGGAGUAAAAGUACUGCUCUUCUGAGCUGUCUGCACAGCCAACUCAAUUUACUCCCAGCUGUGUUGGCAGAGCGGAUGGCACAGUAAUGAAGUAUUUUACUGCUGGAGGAAACCGCUGCUGUUUGAGAGCCAUUGGGCAGUGCAGACAAUACAGAAAUGAAGUACUUCAUAGCUAAAUGGCUCUAUGACCAUGUCAGCAAAAGCACAUCCUCAGAUACCAAAGAUUCAGGUUGCAACAAGCAUCCUCAGGUGGUUACUGAAUCUCUUCCAAAUAUGCAAAGAUAAUUUGAGAAUUGCAUAUCCAUCUAUCUAUCUAUCUAUCUAUCUAUCUAUCAUCUAAUCCAUGAGUAGGCAAACUAAGGCCCGGGGACUGGAUCCAGCCCAAUCGCCUUCUAAAUCCAGCUCGUGGACAGUCAGGUAAUCAGUGUGUUUUUACAUAAGUAGAAUGUGUCCUUUUAUUUAAAAUGCAUCUCAGGGUUAUUUGUGGGGCAUAGGAAUUCGUUCAUCCCCCCCCAAAAAAAAUAUGGUCUGGCCCCCCACAAGGUGUGAGGGACAGUGGAUUACCCCCAUGCUGAAAAAGUUUGCUAACCCCUGAUCUAAUCUAUCUAUCUAUCUAUCUAUCUAUCUAUCUAUCUAUCUAUCUAUCAUCUCCUGCCCUUCCUCCCUGAGGAACCCAGGGCAUCAAACAGAUAAACAAUUUAAAAACAAAAAUCCCCAAAAACAUCCCAAAACAGAUUAAAACAGCCUAAGAACAACCACAAUUCAAAACAUUUUAAAGCAGUUACAGUUUGAAAUAUUCUAAAAGCAAUUGCAAUUUAAAAGCACACCUCCAUCCUGCAAUCUUAAGGUUACCAGGAACCAUAUUCUUCCACCAAAUACCAGGACAAGCAGGAAUGUUUUCAGAUUCCUCCUGAAAGUUAAUACUGGUGGAGACAGGAGCACUGGGAGGGACAUUCAACAAACAGGGAACCACCACUAAAAAGGCCCUGUCAUGGGUCACUGCCAACAACACAGCUCCUGGAAGCAGCACUGUAUGAACAACAUUAGUUCAGAAUUAAUGAGGACUAGUGCUAGGCUGGAGAGAGCCCUCAUCUGCCAGGACCUUUCUAGCAGGGCCUUAUUGGCAUGGUUACUGGCUUAGGUGGCACACCUCCUCAGCUCCAACUGGUGCUGGGUGGCCAGCUAGGAAGUCCCACAAUGCUCUGGGAUGCCCAGUGCAGUCCUGGCUGAAAGAGACAUUUCCUGGCAACCUUGAAAAUACUAGCAGUCAGUAGGGAUGGGGGAUUCUGCCAGUUUUGGUUUCUCAUUUUUCCAGUCUUAAAUUCAGUUCUCUACAAAAAAAAAUAAAAAUUAAUAAAACAAACCCCAA